UACGUAGGGGGCAAGCGUUGUCCGGAUUUACUGGGUGUAAAGGGCGCGCAGGCGGGAUAGCAAGUCAGAGGUGAAAUCCUACAGCUUAACUGUAGAACUGCCUUUGAUACUGUUAUUCUUGAGUUCGGGAGAGAGAGACGGAAUUCCAGGUGUAGUGGUGAAAUACGUAGAUAUCUGGAAGAACACCAGUUGCGAAGGCGGUCUCUUGGUCCGAUACUGACGCUGAGGCGCGAAAGCGUGGGGAGCCAACAGG
rnacentral:rRNA from 1 species